UACAGAGGGUGCGAGCGUUUAAUCGGAAUUACUGGGCGUAAAGCGCGCGUAGGCGGCUUUGCAAGUCGGGUGUGAAAUCUCCAGGGCUCAACCCGGGAACUGCGUCCGAUACUGGCAGGCUUGAAUCCGGGAGAGGGAUGCGGAAUUCCAGGUGUAGCGGUGAAAUGCGUAGAUAUCUGGAGGAACACCGGUGGCGAAGGCGGCAUCCUGGACCGGCAUUGACGCUGAGGCGCGAAAGCGUGGGGAGCGAACAGG
rnacentral:rRNA from 1 species